GUGGGGAAUAUUGGACAAUGGGGGGAACCCUGAUCCAGCCAUGCCGCGUGUGUGAAGAAGGCCUUUUGGUUGUAAAGCACUUUAAGCGAGGAGGAGGCUACCGAGAUUAAUACUCUUGGAUAGUGGACGUUACUCGCAGAAUAAGCACCGGCUAACUCUGUGCCAGCAGCCGCGGUAAUACAGAGGGUGCGAGCGUUAAUCGGCUUUACUGGGCGUAAAGCGUUCGUAGGCGGCUUUUGAAGUCGGAUGUGAAAUCCCUGAGCAUAACUUAGGAAUUGCAUUCGAUACUGGAAAGCUAGAGUAUGGGAGAGGAUGGUAGAAUUCCAGGUGUAGCGGUGAAAUGCGUAGAGAUCUGGAGGAAUACCGAUGGCGAAGGCAGCCAUCUGGCCUAAUACUGACACUGAGGUGCGAAAGCAUGGGGAGCAAACAGGAUUAGAAACCCUAGUAGUCC
rnacentral:rRNA from 1 species